UACGGGAGGCAGCAGUGGGGAAUAUUGGACAAUGGGGGGAACCCUGAUCCAGCGACGCCGCGUGAACGAUGAAGUAUUUCGGUAUGUAAAGUUCUAUCAGCAGGGAAGAUAAUGACGGUACCUGACUAAGAAGCACCGGCUAAAUACGUGCCAGCAGCCACGGUAAU
rnacentral:rRNA from 1 species